CGCGGGAUAGAGCAGUAGGUAGCUCGUCGGGCUCAUAACCCGAAGGUCGUCGCUUCAAAUCCGGCCCCCGCUACCA
rnacentral:tRNA from 2 species